UACAGAGGGUGCAAGCGUUGUUCGGAGUUACUGGGCGUAAAGAGUGCGUAGGCGGUUUUCUAAGUUUGGUGUGAAAUCUCCCGGCUUAACUGGGAGGGUGCGCCGAAGACUGGAAGGCUUGAGUAUGGGAGAGGUAAGCGGAAUUCCUGGUGUAGCGGUGAAAUGCGUAGAUAUCAGGAGGAACACCUGCGGUGUAGACGGCUUACUGGACCAUAACUGACGCUGAGGCACGAAAGCGUGGGUAGCAAACAGG
rnacentral:rRNA from 1 species